rnacentral:lncRNA from 1 species
GCUAGGUAAUAGACAGAUGCAAAGAAAUAGGAGAGAGAUCAGCAUUAUGGGCGGUAAAACCCCAUAUAUAUGUAUGAAUAGGAGACAUCGAGGAAGAAGUGGGUCGUUUCUUUUGGAGUGCUGAUAUUUUAGUGGACAUAUGUUCCCUCCACAGAAGAUGGUCAUGUCACCUUCACAUAUGAGGCACUUGAUAAAGCGUAUGGCCAAAAAAACUACUCAAUCUCAGCUUGACAGGGCAACUACAUAGUUGGACUUUGAACAUAAAGUUUUGGCCGAGAACUCAAGACGAGCUCAACUAACUUGGGAGGCUUGCCAAUGCUUAAAGAUGUCUUAUGCAUGUAAACCUUAUUUUUGCAAUUGAUUUGAAGGAAAACUAUUUCCAUAUACAAAAGAUAGGACAAAUAUGUUAAGAGUAAAAUCAGGUCAUUAAUUUAUUAAGAAAUAAUAAAACACUU